CAGCUCCGUAAAUUCAGAUUCUGAGCGUCAGAAGGUCAGAGUAUUAGGGGAGAAGAAUGUAACAUGUAAUUCUGCUGUCUGUUAUUUUGAAUUUGGUGGCAUUCAUUUCUAAAUGGAGGCUUGUUGGGUUUUUUUGGCAGGGCCACCAGCCAUGAUGCAGCUCUGCUUUGCACUGAUGAAAGGAGUAUUUGUUCCCCAGUCAGCCUGCUCGUGGUUUGCUGCCCUGUGUUGGAGAGAUUUCCUGGUACCAACCUCAAAUGCCACUUCCUCUGGCAGGGUAUCCAUUUUCUCUCAAAUCUGCCUUCUUGUCUUCUUGAAAGUUCUAAUAAUUUUUCACUGUUGGACUAAUACAAAGUAUAGAACUGCUUCCUUUGGCUCCCAUAUUCUAAGAGUAUGAGUGCAAGUCAGCAAGAACACUGCCCAAGGAGACCUGCAGUGGAAAUGUACACCCUGAAAAUAGAGGUGCUUGUCUAUUUUUUAAUAUAUGUACUCAUAAAAGUUAUGUUAUGUAUGCAUGCAACAGUUAUAACUAAUGGCCAUAACUAGCAGCUAGAUCUACAGGGCAAAGGCUACAGAAGAUUUCUUUGUUCACAGAAUCUCAGAGUGGGUAAGAUUGAAAGGGCCCACAGUGGUCAUCUGGUCCAACUUCCCAGCUCAAGCAGGGCCAUCCUAGAAGAGCACAUUGCACAGGAUUGCAUCCAG
rnacentral:lncRNA from 1 species